ACUCCUACGGGAGGCAGCAGUGGGGAAUAUUGCACAAUGGGGAAACCCUGAUGCAGCCAUGCCGCGUGUGUGAAGAAGGCCUUCGGUUGUAAAGCACUUCAGUAGGGAGGAAGGUAGUGUAGUUAACACCUGCACUAUUUGACGUUACCUACAGAAGAAGCACCGGCUAACUCCGUGCCAGCAGCCGCGGUAAUACGGAGGGGUGCGAGCGUUAAUCGGAAUUACUGGGCGUAAAGCGCAUGCAGGCGGCCUGUUAAGUCAGAUGUGAAAGCCCGGGGGCUUAACCUCGGAAUUGCAUUUGAAACUGGCAGGCUAGAGUCUUGUAGAGGGGGUAGAAUUUCAGGUGUAGCGGUGAAAUGCGUAGAGAUCUGAAGGAAUACCAGUGGCGAAGGCGGCCCCCUGGACAAAGACUGACGCUCAGAUGCGAAAGCGUGGGGAGCAAACAGGAUUAGAUACCCUGGUAGCACAGAG
rnacentral:rRNA from 1 species